UUGAACGCUGGCGGCAGGCCUAACCCAUGCCAGUCGAACGGUAACAGGAAGCAGCUUGCUGCUUCGCUGACGAGUGGCGGACGGGUGAGUAAUGUCUGGGAAGCUGCCUGAUGGAGGGGGAUAACUACUGGAAACGGUAGCUAAUACCGCAUAAUGUCGCAAGACCAAAGAGGGGGACCUUCGGGCCUCUUGCCAUCGGAUGUGCCCAGAUGGGAUUAGCUUGUUGGUGGGGUAACGGCUCACCAAGGCGACGAUCCCUAGCUGGUCUGAGAGGAUGACCAGCCACACUGGGACUGAGACACGGUCCAGACUCCUACGGGAGGCAGCAGUGGGGAAUAUUGCACAAUGGGCGCAAGCCUGAUGCAGCCAUGCCGCGUGUAUGAAGAAGGCCUUCGGGUUGUAAAGUACUUUCAGCGGGGAGGAAGGGAGUAAAGUUAAUACCUUUGCUCAUUGACGUUACCCGCAGAAGAAGCACCGGCUAACUCCGUG
rnacentral:rRNA from 1 species